UACGGGGGGAGCAAGCGUUGUUCGGAUUUACUGGGCGUAAAGGGCGCGUAGGCGGCCACCGCAAGUCGACUGUGAAAUCUCCGGGCUUAACCCGGAAAGGUCAGCCGAUACUGCGGGGCUAGAGUGCAGAAGGGGCAACUGGAAUUCUCGGUGUAGCGGUGAAAUGCGUAGAUAUCGAGAGGAACACCUGCGGCGAAGGCGGGUUGCUGGUCUGUAACUGACGCUGAGGCGCGAAAGCGUGGGGAGCAAACAGG
rnacentral:rRNA from 1 species